rnacentral:rRNA from 1 species
UACGGAGGGUGCAAGCGUUAUCCGGAUUCACUGGGUUUAAAGGGUGUGUAGGCGGGUAAGUAAGUCAGUGGUGAAAUCUCCAGGCUCAACCUGGAAACUGCCAUUGAUACUAUUUAUCUUGAAUAUCGUUGAGGUAGGCGGAAUAUGUCAUGUAGCGGUGAAAUGCUUAGAUAUGACAUAGAACACCGAUUGCGAAGGCAGCUUGCUAAACGAUUAUUGACGCUGAGGCACGAAAGCGUGGGGAUCAAAUAGG